rnacentral:rRNA from 1 species
GUGGGGAAUCUUAGACAAUGGGGGCAACCCUGAUCUAGCCAUGCCGCGUGAGUGAUGAAGGCCUUCGGGUUGUAAAGCUCUUUCAGCUGGGAAGAUAAUGACGGUACCAGCAGAAGAAGCCCCGGCUAACUCCGUGCCAGCAGCCGCGGUAAUACGGAGGGGGCUAGCGUUGUUCGGAAUUACUGGGCGUAAAGCGCACGUAGGCGGAUCAGCCAGUCAGGGGUGAAAUCCCGGGGCUCAACCCCGGAACUGCCCUUGAUACUGUUGGUCUGGAGUUCGAGAGAGGUGAGUGGAAUUCCGAGUGUAGAGGUGAAAUUCGUAGAUAUUCGGAGGAACACCAGUGGCGAAGGCGGCUCACUGGCUCGAUACUGACGCUGAGGUGCGAAAGCGUGGGGAGCAAACAGGAUUAGAUACCCCAGUAGUCC